rnacentral:rRNA from 1 species
AUGGCCGUACCAUGCUGAAUAUACCGGUUCUCGUUAGAUCACCGAAGUUAAGCAUCAUUGGGCGCGGUCAGUACUUGGGUGGGUGACCACCUGGGAACACUGCGUGCC